UUGACACAAGUAUUUCGCUGCUGGCCGAUGUGUACGAGACUUCAGUUAUUUUGCGGCAUUUGAACUCUGCGCAACGAAACGCAACGAAGUGCUAACGAACGGUCCGACACAACGACAGGCGUGUAAAUCGUAGGCGUAGCAACAACAACUACAACAACAACGACAACAACUAGCAAUAACAAAUAGACAACCAUCCGGCAUUUUCUAUUAUGAUUAAAUGUUGAGUGUUAAACAGUGAGUGCGUGUGCGAAUUCCGCUUAAAGUGAAAGCUAAUAAACAAAAUAGCGCGAAAUCAACAUCAACAAAAUAACAAACAACGCUAUUGCGAAAAUAGUUCACCGACUACGGAUAAAGAAAAAACAUCCACAUUAAUUAUAUAAAUUUAUUUUCUGUACUAUAAAUAAAGGACCAAGCACCUCUGGGAUAAUGCAUUAGACGAGCAAGGCGAAGGACUUGGUAAAUAUAAUUUGGCAAAUUAUUAACGGGGAUGUAAGAAGUGCUUAUCUGUGGAGGGUAAACAUUGCAAACAGCAAACAGAGCACAGCGAAUGAAUUAUCCAUAAUGUUAUUUACCAAUGUGUGGAGGUGUCUGUUGUGGUGAUGACAACGAUGUAAAGAGUCAAGUGUAGCAGAGGACAGAGACUUACGAUAUGCUUGUUUGGUAUACACAUUUCAGCCUGUCAACAACAGGAUGCAUUCAUAACUUUGGCACAGCAAGUGGAGGAUGUCCUUUGGAAACUAUCAACUCAGCAAUACUUGCAUCCCUUCCACAUUAUUCAAUUAAACUUUGAUACAAUUCGAAACAUCUGCUGCUGAUGCUGGCAGAUGAAUGUCUUGUCAGACAAAUAUGAAAUUUCCCAACUGUAUUCUGUCUGUAACUAGUGGAGUGCGUAUUCAAUAAAUGAAAGCAGGAAUUUUCAAUUUAAAUUGCAUUAAAUUUACACUAGCAGCAAAAACUGCCAACGGGAAAAGGAAAACCGACAACAUGCAACAGCAGGCAACAAACAAGCAGCCGAAAGCCAACAGCCGCAACAUUUCCUCUGCGUCCCCCAAAAAGUGUUGCAUAUCCGCAGGGGUCGAUGGUGUCCUGGUCAAUGCAAGUUUCGUCCCGCAGGCGAACUCGACCAUCAAUUCAUUAAAUUGCUCACUUGGCUGAUGUUGCUGCUAAUUGGCUGGGUGAGAGAGGCUUCCUGUGCCAAAUUUAUUCUGGGAUCUGCAAUUCCCAAACUGACAUUAUUCUUAGCAUCUGUUGAUUUCCACCUAAUAAUUUUGAGC